GACGAACGCUGGCGGCGUGCUUAACACAUGCAAGUCGAACGGAAAGGCCCUGCUUUUGUGGGGUGCUCGAGUGGCGAACGGGUGAGUAACACGUGAGUAACCUGCCCUUGACUUUGGGAUAACUUCAGGAAACUGGGGCUAAUACCGGAUAGGAGCUCCUGCUGCAUGGUGGGGGUUGGAAAGUUUCGGCGGUUGGGGAUGGACUCGCGGCUUAUCAGCUUGUUGGUGGGGUAGUGGCUUACCAAGGCUUUGACGGGUAGCCGGCCUGAGAGGGUGACCGGCCACAUUGGGACUGAGAUACGGCCCAGACUCCUACGGGAGGCAGCAGUGGGGAAUAUUGCACAAUGGGCGGAAGCCUGAUGCAGCAACGCCGCGGGCGGGAUGACGGCCUUCGGGUUGUAAACCGCUUUCGCCUGGGACGAAGCGGGAGGGACGGUAAUGGGUAAAGAAGCAACGGCUAACUACGUG
rnacentral:rRNA from 1 species